rnacentral:rRNA from 1 species
UCAGUUCAGACUGCAGGCUGCAACUCGCCUGCACGAAGUCGGAAUUGCUAGUAAUCGUAGGUCAGCAUACUACGGUGAAUACGUUCCCGGGCCUUGUACACACCGCCCGUCAAACCAUGAGAGUUGGCAACACCCGAAGUCGGUAGUCUAACCGCAAGGAGGACGCCGCCGAAGGUGGGGUUGAUGAUUAGGGUUAAGUCGUAACAAGGUAGC